rnacentral:rRNA from 1 species
UACGAAGGGGGCUAGCGUUGCUCGGAAUUACUGGGCGUAAAGGGCGCGUAGGCGGAUAGUCUAGUCAGAGGUGAAAGCCCAGGGCUCAACCUUGGAACUGCCUUUGAUACUGGCUAUCUUGAGUUCGGGAGAGGUGAGUGGAAUGCCGAGUGUAGAGGUGAAAUUCGUAGAUAUUCGGCGGAACACCAGUGGCGAAGGCGACUCACUGGCCCGAUACUGAAGCUGAGGCGCGAAAGCGUGGGGAGCAAACAGG